CAGUCGCCACGGUAAUACGUAGGUGGCAAGCGUUAUCCGGAAUUAUUGGGCGUAAAGCGCGCGUAGGCGGUUUUUUAAGUCUGAUGUGAAAGCCCACGGCUCAACCGUGGAGGGUCAUUGGAAACUGGAAAACUUGAGUGCAGAAGAGGAAAGUGGAAUUCCAUGUGUAGCGGUGAAAUGCGCAGAGAUAUGGAGGAACACCAGUGGCGAAGGCGACUUUCUGGUCUGUAACUGACGCUGAUGUGCGAAAGCGUGGGGAUCAAACAGGAUUAGAGACCCCGGUAGUCCCUGUCUCUUAUAC
rnacentral:rRNA from 1 species